GAUUAACGCUGGCGGCGUGCAUAACACAUGCAAGUCGAACGAUGAAACUUUAAUGAACCCUUCGGGGAGAGUUAAAGCGGAUUAGUGGCGAACGGGUGAGUAACGCGUGAGUAACCUGCCUUACACAAGGGGAUAGCCUUUGGAAACGAAGAAUAAUACCCUAUAAAACCAUAAAAGCACAUGCAAUUAUGGUCAAAGUGAUAGCGGUGUAAGAUGGACUUGCGUCUGAUUAGCUAGUUGGUGAGAUAAAAGCCCACCAAGGCAACGAUCAGUAGCCGGCUUGAGAGAGUGUACGGCCACAUUGGGACUGAGACACGGCCCAGACUCCUACGGGAGGCAGCAGUGGGGAAUUUUGCACAAUGGGGGAAACCCUGAUGCAGCGACGCCGCGUGAUUUAGAAGGCCUUCGGGUUGUAAAAAUCUUUUGUAUAGGAAGAAAAUGACAGUACUAUACGAAUAAGGUCCGGCUAAUUACGUG
rnacentral:rRNA from 1 species